rnacentral:rRNA from 1 species
UGCCAGCCGCCGCGGUAAUACGGAGGGUGCGAGCGUUAAUCGGAAUCACUGGGCGUAAAGCGUACGUAGGUGGCAAAGUCAGUCAGGCGUGAAAGCCCUCGGCUCAACCGAGGAAUUGCGUUUGAUACUACUUUGCUAGAGUCUCGGAGAGGUUGGCGGAAUUGUUAAUGUAAGGGUAAAAUCUAUAAAUAUUAAUAGGAAUAUCGCUGGCGAAAGCAGCUAUCUACUUCUUGACUGACGCUGAGGUGCGAAGGUACGGGUAGCAAACAGGAUUAGAUA